rnacentral:rRNA from 1 species
CGCGUAGGUGGUUGUGUCAGUCGGAUGUGAAAUCCCCCAGGCUUAACCUGGGAACUGCAUCCGAUACUGCAUGACUCGAGUGCAGCAGAGGGAAACGGAAUUCCUGGUGUAGAGGUGAAAUUCGUAGAUAUCAGGAGGAACACCGGUGGCGAAGGCGGUUUCCUGGGCUGACACUGACACUGAGGCGCGAAAGCGUGGGUAGCAAACAGGAUUAGAUACCCUGGUAGUCCACGCUGUAAACGGUGAGUGCUGGGUGUGGGAGGUGUAAUGCCUUCUGUGCCGAAGCUAACGCGUUAAGCACUCCGCCUGGGGAGUACGGCCGCAAGGUUGAA